rnacentral:lncRNA from 1 species
UUAUAUAAAGGGAAGACGUUGAUCAGAAUGGAGCAUUCCUCCUUCUUCCCCACCGGGGUUGAUCCCGUUAGGAUCUUCUCUUCGGAGGCCAAGUUCCCACAAGAAACAAAGAAGGGAGAGAAGAGUUUGGAUAUUUUGGGAAUAACUUCCCACAUAUAAAAAAAAUAAGAAGGAAGGAGGGAGGAAGAAGGAAGCCGAUCGUGAUACAAAUAGGAGCCCGCUGCUGUACCACUGCUGCUGUCGCCCACGAUUCCAU